GACGAACGCUGGCGGCGUGCUUAACACAUGCAAGUCGAACGGAAAGGCCCUGCUUUUGUGGGGUGCUCGAGUUGCGAACGGGUGAGUAACACGUGAGUAACCUGCCCUUGACUUUGGGAUAACCUCAGGAAACUUGGUCUAAUACCGGAUAGGAGCUCCUGCUUCUUGGUGGGGGUUGGAUAGUUUCGGCGGUUGGGGAUGGACUCGCGGCUUAUCAGCUUGUUGGUGGGGUAGUGGCUUACCAAGGCUUUGACGGGUAGCCGGCCUGAGAGGGUGACCGGACACAUUGGGACUGAGAUAAGGCCCAGACUAGUACGGGAGGCAGCAGUGGGGAAUAUUGCACAAUGGGCGGAAGCCUGAUGCAGCAAAGCAGCGUGGGGGAUGACAGCAUUCGGGUUGUAAACCGCUUUCGCCUGUGACGAAGCGAGAGUGACGGUAAUGGGUAAAGAAGCACCGGCUAACUACGUG
rnacentral:rRNA from 1 species